CUGGUACCUGAGGGUCAGGAAGCAACACUUUCAUUUAUGCAUCAUGUUCCUCUCUGGUAGGAACAAAGAAAUGUGAAGCAGCAUUGGCCCAGUGAGAAGAUGGAUCAGGCUUCAUCUGGUAACCUCCUGCUUAUCUAUGUUCUCAGGAAGUUGCAGGUGGAUGUGCUUCAUGUUGAAACGGAGCAGGAAGCCUCAGAUGGGGCAACAGCAGCUUGCUGUAAUCUGGACCUACUUAGCUAAGAAGAGACUCACGUUGCCACGGUGAUGAGAAGCAUGUAAACGGCUCUGAAGACGACGUAGGAGCUGUAGCACAUCCAGAUGUUCUUCUGCAGGGUCAUGAUGAACACGCACACAGCCAUGAGCAGGGACAGGAUCCACAGAACCAGUUCUCCCCAGCGAGCCCAGGACACAGGGAGGCAGCCCACCAGCAGAACAGCCAGAGCGCCUGCAGACCAGCAGAUCAGGUUUAGCUUCAGUAGGAGAAAGUCUCUUCAUGUUCAAGGGACUAAACCUGAUGUCGGUGCCAAGUCAAAGGUCCAGAACAACUAGGGAUGGAUAAAUUCUUUUUAGCUUAAAUAUGUUCAUAUCAACUACAAAAAAGCUGUUUUCACAUGAUCAUUUCAUUAAGGGGAUCAGCUAUCCUGGCUUGGUUGCUCUCAGACCUGGAGAAGCAAAGAAUCACUUAAAUAGAACCUUUCUGAUAUCAUGAAGUAGGCCAUAUCAGCUGCUAAAGCUCUGCAAGUCUUGCUGCCUCACUUAAGGUCAGAGGUCAUGAUUGAACUAUAAGCAAGAAACGGGGCAAAAAUUGCCUCAAUGGGAGAAACCACUGCUGACCCAAAAAACACAAAGGCCCAUUUCACAUUUACCAACACACCUUUAUGAUCUCCAAGACUUUUGGUAACGUAUUCAAUGGAGUGACAAGACAAAAGUGGACUAUUUUGGAAGCUGUGGGUAUCACGUUGCAUCUGGGAUAAAUCUAACAGCAUUUCAGAAAAAUAUCAUCAUUUGCUUAGUCAAAAGCCAGAAGGAAAAUGUCCAAUCAUCAGUUACUGACCACACUUGGUCAACACAGCAGAACAAAGAUCUGAAGCACACCAGGAAGUCCACCAGAAAAUGGAUUGGAAAAAAAACAAGGUUUUGGAGUUGAGGGGGAGGGGCUGGCCAUGUGGUAUUUGUUUGGUCAUGUGACAGUGAUGCAGUGCAGGAUUGUGGGAUGUUUAACUGAAUCAGGGAGAUAAUCUCAGUAGUAAAAAGGUAGGGCCAUAUAUAUUAUAUUAGGAAAUAUCAGUUAUCGACGAUGACAUUUUUUUUAAUCAACCACUGUUUUUAAAUGACAUCUUAUUGCUGACAUGUGUUUGGAUUUUAUGAAAUAAUUUCAUAUCUGCUGAAAAGGCUGUGACACAAUAUUCAAUCUUUCUGAUUGUUUAUUUAGGCUGACAUUAAAUUCAACCAGUGAUUUUCCGUCACCCACAGAUGACAUUAAUGUUUAGUCAUUUGAGACAACGCCAGAUACAGACAGAAGAUCAGAGUCAGAUGGUCUGGACCUGGCACAGAAUUCUCCUGCUUUGUUGUUCUGUUUUCUGUUUGCAUGAAGCAAAGUAAGAAAGAAACAUUAUUCUUUGUCAUUCAUAGCUUUGAAGGUAAAAGUUGAGGAAUAUUGUUUGUGGUUUACUUACCCAAGCAUUAAAAAUAUUUUACUGCUACCAAUCAGUUAAAACUGUAAUUCAGGAUAAAAAACUGGACAUAAAUUGAUGUACAUUGAAGUCUUAAUGACAAAUUUUUCUAAACGAGUGAAAUAAAACCACUGAGCA